rnacentral:rRNA from 1 species
AGUGAACGCUGGCGGCGUGCUUAACACAUGCAAGUCGAACGAGAACGGAUUAUAGCUUGCUAUAAUUGUCAGCUAAGUGGCGCACGGGUGAGUAAUGUAUAGGUAAUAUGCCUCUUACUAAGGGAUAACAAAUGGAAACGUUUGCUAAUACCUUAUACUCCUUAUUAACAUAAGUUAAUAAGGGAAAGAUUUAUUGGUAAGAGAUUAGCCUGUAUUGUAUCAGUUAGUUGGUGGGGUAAUGGCUUACCAAGACUAUGACACAUAACUGGUUUGAGAGGAUGAUCAGUCACACUGGAACUGAGACACGGUCCAGACUCCUACGGGAGGCAGCAGUGGGGGAUAUUGCACAAUGGACGAAAGUCUGAUGCAGCAACGCCGCGUGGAGGAUGACACAUUUCGGUGCGUAAACUCCUUUUAUAUGAGAAGAUAAUGACGGUAUUAUAUGAAUAAGCACCGGCUAACUCCGUGCCAGCAGCCGCCGCAG